UUCCAGACUCCUACGGGAGGCAGCAGUGGGGAAUAUCGGGCAAUGGGCGCAAGCCUGACCCAGCAACGCCGCGUGAAGGAAGAAGGCUUUCGGGUUGUAAACUUCUUUUGACAGGGAAGAGUAGAAGACGGUACCUGUCGAAUAAGCCACGGCUAACUACGUGCCAGCAGCCGCGGUAAUACGUAGGUGGCAAGCGUUGUCCGGAAUUACUGGGUGUAAAGGGAGCGCAGGCGGGAAGCCAAGUCAGCUGUGAAAACUACGGGCUUAACUUGUAGACUGCAGUUGAAACUGGUUUUCUUGAGUGAAGUAGAGGUUGGCGGAAUUCCGAGUGUAGUGGUGAAAUGCGUAGAUAUUCGGAGGAACACCGGUGGCGAAGGCGGCCAACUGGGCUUUAACUGACGCUGAGGCUCGAAAGUGUGGGGAGCAAACAGGAUUAGAUACCCUGGUAUCA
rnacentral:rRNA from 1 species